GAUGAAGAACGCAGUGAAAUGCGAUAAGUAGUGUGAAUUGCAGAAUUCAGUGAAUCAUCGAAUCUUUGAAUGCACAUUGCGCCCCCCAGUAUUCUGGCGGGCAUGCCUGUUCGAGCGUCAUUUCAACCAUCAAGCCCUGCUUGUGUUGGGGUCCUGCGGCUGCCCGCAGGCCCUGAAAACCAGUGGCGGGCUCGCUAGUCACACCGAGCGCAGUAGCACAUCUCGCUCAGGGCGUGCGGCGGGCUCCAGCCGUUAAAGCACCCACCUUUCGCAAGGUUGACCUCGGAUCAGGUAGGAAUACCCGCUGAACUUAAGCAUAUCAAUAAGCGGAGGA
rnacentral:misc_RNA from 1 species